UGAGGAAUAUUGGUCAAUGGGCGAGAGCCUGAACCAGCCAAGUAGCGUGCAGGUUGACGGCCCUAUGGGUUGUAAACUGCUUUUAUAUGGGAAUAAAGUGAGGGACGUGUCCCUUAUUGCAUGUACCAUAUGAAUAAGGACCGGCUAAUUCCGUGCCAGCAGCCGCGGUAAUACGGAAGGUCCAGGCGUUAUCCGGAUUUAUUGGGUUUAAAGGGAGCGUAGGCCGUUUGGUAAGCGUGUUGUGAAAUGUAGGAGCUCAACUUCUAGAUUGCAGCGCGAACUGUCAGACUUGAGUGCGCACAACGUAGGCGGAAUUCAUGGUGUAGCGGUGAAAUGCUUAGAUAUCAUGAAGAACUCCGAUUGCGAAGGCAGCUUACGGGAGCGCAACUGACGCUGAAGCUCGAAGGUGCGGGUAUCGAACAGG
rnacentral:rRNA from 1 species